GGCGAGAUGGUCUAGUGGUAAAGACGAAGUGUUGCAAGUUCGUAAAGCCAGGAUCGAUUCCUGGUUCUGUUG
rnacentral:tRNA from 1 species